AGCAGUAGCCACGGGAAUACGAAGGGUGCGAGCGUUAAUCGGAAUUACUGGGCGUAAAGCGUGCGUAGGUGGUGGUUUAAGUCCGUUGUGAAAGCCCUGGGCUCAACCUGGGAAUUGCAGUGGAUACUGGGUCACUAGAGUGUGGUAGAGGAUAGUGGAAUUUCCGGUGUAGCAGUGAAAUGCGUAGAGAUCGGAAGGAACAUCUGUGGCGAAGGCGGCCAUCUGGGACAACACUGACGCUGAGGCACGAAAGCGUGGGGAGCAAACAGGAUUAGAUACCCGUGUAGUCCCUGUCUCUUAUAC
rnacentral:rRNA from 1 species